rnacentral:ncRNA from 2 species
AGCAUGAUGAUCAUACGUGCAAUUCCUGUGGUAUCUGAAAAAUGCAAUGACAGAAGAACUGCGACGAUGCCUUCAUACAAGGAUUCACUGACU